rnacentral:rRNA from 1 species
UAAAGAAAGCGUAAUAGCUCACUGGUCGAGUCGGCCUGCGCGGAAGAUGUAACGGGGCUAAACCAUGCACCGAAGCUGCGGCAGCGACGCUAUGCGUUGUUGGGUAGGGGAGCGUUCUGUAAGCCUGCGAAGGUGUGCUGUGAGGCAUGCUGGAGGUAUCAGAAGUGCGAAUGCUGACAUAAGUAACGAUAAAGCGGGUGAAAAGCCCGCUCGCCGGAAGACCAAGGGUUCCUGUCCAACGUUAAUCGGGGCAGGGUGAGUCGACCCCUAAGG